rfam:Myotis davidii contig17817, whole genome shotgun sequence.
GGCAGUUCUCAGGUGACACACCCAGAAUCAGGCUCCCUUCUCUCUGGUUCUGGGAUGCGUGACCCGAGAAUCGCC